rnacentral:lncRNA from 1 species
GCCUGAACAACAUGCAUUUUAUUCCCACGACUUUUGGCCCACGACCUUCUAGAAUUUCCCCUUGGGCCUUCCUGGGGUGCGUUCCCAGAUGACGUCCGAUUGUUUGCCUUCGUGCGCUUCACCACCGGGGAUGCCAUGAGCAAGAGGUCCAAGUUUGCCCUCAUCACCUGGAUUGGCGAGAACGUCAGCGGGCUGCAGCGCGCCAAGACGGGCACCGACAAGACCCUGGUGAAGGAAGUGGUGCAGAAUUUCGCCAAAGAGUUUGUGAUCAGUGAUCGGAAGGAGCUGGAGGAAGAUUUUAUCAAGAGCGAGCUCAAGAAGGCCGGGGGUGCCAAUUAUGACGCCCAGACGGAGUAACCCCCGCACCCCGCGCCUUGCCAAAGUCAUCUGCCUGCUCCCCGGGGGAGGGGACCGCGGCCUCAGCUACCAGCCCAUCAGCCCACCAGGGAGAGGAGACGCGAUGAGAGGCAACGCCCGCCACCCCGUCCGCAACCCAGCUCCCCUCCCCGCUUCCCCUUGUGCACCUGCUGUGUCCCGUCCCAUGAAGCUCAUGGAACAUCUUUCUUUGCUUUUUUUUCUUUUCUCCCCCUGACCCCUUUCUUGUUCUAAACAAAAAUCAUUUGGAUGCCAAGGUCACGCACAUCACCAGAUCGGAGGUGCCUCCUGCGGUGACCCUCUCCUGGCAUUUCUUAACGCACAGGCAGCCUGCCCGGCCUGACCCAUCAACCUCGCGUCGCUUCUGGCGCCUGGGCCAGUGUCGCUCUCUUGUUUUCUUUUUUUUUGGCGCCCGCCUGCUUCCCACGGAGGAGGCAGCCACGUGGGGAGCCCGUCCUCAUCGUGCCCUUGUCGAGCCCCGCUGGCCAGGCUCACACCUCCAGGAGUCCCUCCGGAGGCCCCCCCACCCCCCACCUCCAUUCCAAGUUGCCUAAGCUCCAUGUCCAUCAGAGACGGUGCUCGGUGGAGAGAUGGGCAGCCCUGACUCAGACCGAAGGAGGAGAGAGGAAAAUCUGCCACCCGUCAGAAGCGGCCCGUUCCCCAGCCUUGGGAUGGCGCUCUCGGGAUGGCGGGGGGUGGGGGCAGAGGUCUGAGUCCAGAUUCGACGGGAGGUGCUCAGGGCUCACAUCCUCGGGCUCCCCAAGUGACGAGGACAUUAGGGGUGCAGAAUGGGCAUUUAGGUCAAAGCGGUCCUCUGCACGACAGCACAGACAGCAGGGGACAGAGGCUCCCUGCUCCGUCACGGUCACCACAGCUGUGUGUGCAGCGCCCCCCCCCACUGGGGGGGGGAACCAGAAAGUCUAUGGUUUUAAUCCUCGGUGGCACCUCACACAAAAAGGAUUUUUUUUUUUUUCAAAGAAAGAUGAGGUUGGCUUGGUUCUUCAUGCCCAUGUUAGGUAGGGCUCUUUUUCUCUUUUCCUUGCUCGUUUCGUCGGGGGACGUCUGUGCUGUGCUGGGGUGGUGAAGGCAUCUGCACUCAAAACGGUUUACAGAAAUAAAUUUUUGUUUUGUUUUGUUUUUCAAAAAA